rnacentral:rRNA from 1 species
UACGGGGGGAGCAAGCGUUGUUCGGAUUUACUGGGCGUAAAGGGCGCGUAGGCGGCCUCCGCAAGUCAGUUGUGAAAUCUCCGAGCUUAACUCGGAAAGGUCAGCCGAUACUGCGGGGCUAGAGUGCAGAAGGGGCAACUGGAAUUCUCGGUGUAGCGGUGAAAUGCGUAGAUAUCGAGAGGAACACCUGCGGCGAAGGCGGGUUGCUGGGCUGACACUGACGCUGAUGCGCGAAAGCUAGGGGAGCGAACGGG